rnacentral:rRNA from 1 species
UACGUAGGGUGCAAGCGUUAAUCGGAAUUACUGGGCGUAAAGCGUGCGCAGGCGGUUGUGCAAGACAGAUGUGAAAAUCCCCCGGGCUUAACCUGGGAAUUGCAUUUGUGACUGCACGGCUAGAGUGUGUCAGAGGGGGGGUAGAAUUCCACGUGUAGCAGUGAAAAUGCGUAGAUAUGUGGAGGAAUACCGAUGGCGAAGGCAGCCCCCUGGGAUAACACUGACGCUCAGGCA